UACGGAGGGUGCGAGCGUUAAUCGGAAUUACUGGGCGUAAAGGGUGCGCAGGCGGCGUCGCAAGUCAGGCGUGAAAUCCCCAGGCUUAACCUGGGAACUGCAUUCGAGACUGCAUUGCUAGAGUAUGGGAGAGGGAAGUGGAAUUUCCGGUGUAGCGGUGAAAUGCGUAGAUAUCGGAAGGAACAUCAGUGGCGAAAGCGACUUCCUGGACCAAUACUGACGCUCAUGUGCGAAAGCGUGGGGAGCAAACAGG
rnacentral:rRNA from 1 species